rnacentral:rRNA from 1 species
ACGGAAGGCAGCAGUGGGGAAUAUUGGACAAUGGGGGAAACCCUGAUCCAGCGACGCCGCGUGAGUGAAGAAGUAUUUCGGUAUGUAAAGCUCUAUCAGCAGGGAAGAAGAUGACGGUACCUGACUAAGAAGCCCCGGCUAACUACGUGCCAGCAGCCGCGGUAAUACGUAGGGGGCAAGCGUUAUCCGGAUUUACUGGGUGUAAAGGGAGCGUAGACGGCAUAGCAAGUCUGAUGUGAAAACCCGGGGCUCAACCGCGGGAUUGCAUUGGAAACUGUUAAGCUCGAGUACUGGAGGGGUAAGCGGAAUUCCUAGUGUAGCGGUGAAAUGCGUAGAUAUUAGGAGGAACACCGGUGGCGAAGGCGGCUUACUGGACAGUAACUGACGUUGAGGCUCGAAAGCGUGGGGAGCAAACAGGAUUAGAUACCCUGGUA